rnacentral:rRNA from 1 species
AUGGAGUUGUCGGGUUCCGUCGCCUGCCCCACGGCGGCUCAGGCGCGGCUGCUCCGGCCGCCGGCUGAUCUCCGCCAGCUCGCCUCGCCUCGAUACAUAUCUUGUAGGAGUUUCGCCGUGAGAAGCAAAGUGACCAAGGCAAUGCCUUCACUGAGUGUGAGCUUUCAGCCCGCAUUUCGUCAACCAGUUACCAGGGCUACAUGGAAGAAGAAACACAAUAUUGCAUGCUAUCAGAGACAAGGAGCUCCACAGAUAGAAGCCAAGUCAAUGGAGGAAGUAUAUGAUGCUUUGGCUGAGCACCUUCUUUCUGUUUCACAGAGUAUCGAUAAUCUUGAUUCAAAAUAUAUUGUUGGUCUGGCUGGCCCACCUGGUGCAGGCAAGUCUACUGUUGCCUCUGAAGUGGUUCGACGCGUCAAUAUGCGUUGGUCUCAGAAGCAUGCAAAAGAUAGUUCACCGAAUUCAAAUGAAGACAUUGCGACAAUGCUUCCCAUGGAUGGUUUCCACCUUUAUCGAUCCCAGCUUGAUGCAAUGGAGGAUCCAAAAGAAGCACAUGCAAGAAGAGGAGCACCAUGGACAUUCAACCCAUCACUUUUUCUGAAAUGCCUACAGACCCUAAAGGAAGAGGGGUCAGUUUAUGCUCCAUCAUUUGAUCAUGGUGUUGGUGAUCCAGUCGAGAAUGACAUAUUUGUAAAGCCGCAACACAAAAUAGUGAUCGUCGAAGGGAAUUAUUUAUUACUGGAAGAAGAUGUUUGGAGGGAUAUUAGAGACAUGUUCGAUGAGAAAUGGUUCAUUGACAUUGACAUCGAUGUCUCCAUGCAAAGAGUGCUCCAGAGGCAUAUUGGCACAGGGAAAGAGCCAGAUGUGGCAGCAUGGCGGAUUUCAUACAAUGACCGGCCGAAUGCUGAGCUUAUCAUGGAGUCAAAAAAGGCUGCAGAUCUUGUAAUCAGAUCGGUGGACUACUAA